UUCAGCACUCCUACGGGAGGCAGCAGUGGGGAAUAUUGCACAAUGGGCGCAAGCCUGAUGCAGCCAUGCCGCGUGUAUGAAGAAGGCCUUCGGGUUGUAAAGUACUUUCAGCAGUGAGGAAGGUGGGUAUGUUAAUAGCAUACUCAUUUGACGUUAGCUGCAGAAGAAGCACCGGCUAACUCCGUGCCAGCAGCCGCGGUAAUACGGAGGGUGCGAGCGUUAAUCGGAAUUACUGGGCGUAAAGCGCAUGCAGGUGGUUUGUUAAGUCAGAUGUGAAAGCCCGGGGCUCAACCUCGGAAUUGCAUUUGAAACUGGCAAACUAGAGUACUGUAGAGGGGGUAGAAUUUCAGGUGUAGCGGUGAAAUGCGUAGAGAUCUGAAGGAAUACCGGUGGCGAAGGCGGCCCCCUGGACAGAUACUGACACUCAGAUGCGAAAGCGUGGGGAGCAAACAGGAUUAGAUACCCUGGUAG
rnacentral:rRNA from 1 species